ACCCUUGCGAGUUUCGCUGGGUGUAUUUCCUAGUCGACGGGUCAGCAUCAGUUUCGGUCGUCCUACAAGGACUGAGGGGAACGUAGCACCCUUCCGGGGGUGUGUUAUAGCCUUUCGGUCGUAUGCGGCGACCGGGACUGAGGAAACUCGGCGCUCGCGCCAGAGAUGCUGGCAUAAUGGCCUUGAGCGACCCGUCUUGAAACACGGACCAAGGAGUCUAACAUGCCUGCGAGUGUUUGGGUGGCAAACCCAGACGCGAAAUGAAAGUGAAAGUCGAGAACUCUGGCCACGGAGUGCACCGACGCCCGGAUCCCUCGUCUUUGACGUCGGAUCUGCGGUAGAGCAUGCAUGUUGGGACCCGAAAGAUGGUGAACUAUGCCUGAAUAGGGCGAAGCCAGAGGAAACUCUGGUGGAGGCUCGUAGCGAUUCUGACGUGCAAAUCGAUCGUCGAAUUUGGGUAUA
rnacentral:rRNA from 1 species